rnacentral:rRNA from 1 species
GACGGAGGAUGCAAGUGUUAUCCGGAAUCACUGGGCGUAAAGCGUCUGUAGGUGGUUUAAAAAGUCCACUGUUAAAAAUUGAGGCUUAACUUCAAAGAUGCCGUGGAAACUUUCAAACUAGAGUAUGGUAGGGGUAGAGGGAAUUUCCAGCGGAGCGGUGAAAUGCGUAGAUAUUGGAAAAGACCACCGAUGGCGAAGGCACUCUACUGGGCCACUACUGACACUGAGAGACGAAAGCUAGGGGAGCAAAUGGG